AAAGUUUCAAAGGCACUGAGAUGCAUCCCUUUGAAGGUCCACUACGUCCUGGGCCUCAGACCCCCAAUUACUUGCCUUUCAAGGGUAGAAGAGGCAAAAAUAGGUGUUUGCGGGCGACCAGACCUCUGUAAGCGUUGGGGUCAGAUGUGGGUCUGCCAAAGGAAGACCUGGAGACAGCUGACACUGGGCGCCCACGCGUCCCUGCCCACCCAGUGUCCCCAGUCUGUGCUGCCACGCGGCUCCCUGUCCGGUACGGCUGUUCAGACUCGGCCCUGGAGCCAAACGGUCCCGUGUUUCAACCCAGCUCUGCCUCACAGGCCCCGCCCUCUGUCUCUCUAAGCCGCUCUUCCCUGUGGGCCCUGAGGGUGGAGUCAGGCGCAUUUACCGGGGAUUCACGGAGACCCGCGCCCAGGGCGGAUGCCGGUUGUAACUCGAAGGUUCACCUUAGAGAGAAAGCAAACAGCUCUGCCCACCAGAUCGCUGCAGCGCUCAGCCUGCUUGGUCUCCGAAGGGACGGACCCUCAGCAGCUCCUCAGAAAGCUACUUAUCAGCCAGCGAGACGCUGCCCGAGCUUGCUGUGACAGCAGGGGCUGCUGAGAAGAGAGGCCGAGAUAAAGGAGUAUCCUUCAUCCCCUCAGCGCGGGCCAGACACAAACCAGGGGCAAGGAGCGAGGCUUGGUCGGCUUGGUCGUCUGUAAACAAUCUCCCAUUGUCACAGCGGGGAUUAGAGGAGCAGCUCCCGCAGGCCUGGGGCCUCUCAGCGGGACUGAGCCAUAGGGGGCCUGCGAGAUAGCUGCUGGGAGAGACGCUUGAGGGAACACAGCCACUUGUCAGCAGGGGCUUGGAUUGGCCUGGCAGGGGAGAAUCUGAUAUCUAAACAGUUCCUACAUCCCCGAAGCACUCUCAAAGUUCUCCAGCUAAUUUUUUUUUUUUUGUACCAGGGAUCGAAUUUAAGACCUUGCACUUAUAAGGCAGGCACAGUGCCACUGAGCUAAAUCCCUGGCCCUUCAGCUAAAUAUUGGAUUCCACACCAGAUAACCCCAGGGUGCUCAGGACGGCUGCCUGGAGAGAGAGGCCGGACUCAGGGGCUCAAGCCUGUAAUCUCAGCCCUCGGGAGGCUGAGGCAGGAGAAUCACCCCGAGUUGGAAGCUGGCCUGGGCUACACAGUGAGACCCUGUCUCAGAAAACCAAGAAUUAAAAAAUAGAGAGAUUUAGCACGGUGGUGUCGCCGCCUGACUCACAGGCACACAGAACUUAAGCCCCACUGUCACCUGCCUGCCC
rnacentral:lncRNA from 1 species